UACCAGCACCCCGAGUGGUCGGGACGAUUAUUGGGCCUAAAGCAUCCGUAGCCGGUUCUGCAAGUCCCCCGUUAAAUCCAGCUGCUCAACAGAUGGGCCGCGGAGGAUACUACAGAGCUAGGAGGCAGGAGAGGCAAGCGGUACUCAGUGGGUAGGGGUAAAAUCCGUUGAUCCAUUGAAGACCACCAGUGGCGAAGGCGGCUUGCCAGAAUGCGCUCGACGGUGAGGGAUGAAAGCUGGGGGAACAAACCGG
rnacentral:rRNA from 1 species